UUCUUGCUUUCUCGUGUUUUCAUUGUCUGCUCUUUCUCACCUUGCGCAAAAAGUUUUCAAGUAGAGGCCUUAUUUUGCGAUGGAAAAUAAUUCAAAAUGUGCUGAUUACCAAUUAGAUCAUAGCCAAAUUCAGCAGAUUCUUUAUGUUUCAUUGGUCGAUCAGAGAUAUCUAGAAAUUUGGUAGCAAAUGACCAAGCAUCGUCAACAACAGUGAAUCAAUGUACAUCAGCCACCUAUUUAGAUGAAAGGGCCGACUGGGACUAUAUGCAUCAGCAAAUGGUUAAUCCGGAAGAGAGCAUGAUUGGAAAUGCAUCAAUGACUAGUGAAGAAGACAAUAGCAGCAAAGUUGCCGUUCGAUCUCGAUCUCUUAAAAAAACUGAUCAAUCGAUCGCAUCGAGCAAUGAAUGAAAAAGUGAUCUUCCUUUUUUUCCACAAGUAGCUUAAUUGUGGGUAUAACACAUCCUAUACUCAUAUUUUCUUCAUUCUGCAGAACAUCGAGUGCUUGAGUAAACGGUUCCAUUAUACGAACGUAUUCUCCAAUAAAUUCCUUUUCUGACUGCGUUAAGGGAAUCAAGCCAAAGUGACGAAAUGUUUCUCCUAGCUCC